UGAUUCCUGGGGUGUGCGACCCUCUUACCUAAUUUGAACCUACAGUAUGACAUAAGGGAUUCCAAUAUUUUUAAGCGGAUGUCAGGCCUCCUUUGAGUGGAAGGCAGAAGCUUAAGUGAGGUUGCCCACCUAGCAAUGCUAGGAGUCAAACAGUAAGAGACGGCAUUUCGGGAUUACG
rnacentral:other from 1 species